rnacentral:rRNA from 1 species
AUGAGAUGUCACAUUUUCGGUGGGGAGACGAGGACAAUCAUAAGCGGAUGGCUUGGUGAAAAAUGUGUCUAUCUAAAAAUCAGUGGGGCGGGUUUUUGUGAUAUUCAUUGUUUCAACCUGACAAUGUUGACAAAACAAGCUUGUCGUCUUCUCGAAAAUCUCGAGUCCUUAUGUGCCAUCAUGUUGAGAGCUAAGUAUUUACCUGAUGGUAAUUUACUGAAUGUAAAGUUAAAGAAGGGUUCCCCUUUUACCUGGCAAAGUAUUUACGAUGGGUGGGUGGGAGGGGGGUUAAUUAUCUGA